GAGGGUGUAGCUCAAAUGGUAAGGUGCGUGCUUAGCAUGCAUGAAGUCCUGGGUUCAAUCCCCAGUACCUCCA
rnacentral:tRNA from 1 species